GACGUAGGUGGCGAACGUUAUCCGGAAUUAUUGGGCGUAAAGGGUGCGUAGGUGGCUUGAAAAAGUUAUCAGUGGCAAAUCGAGGCUUAACCUCGCGGAAACUGGUAAUACUGUUUGGCUCGAGUGCAGGAGAGGUUAACGGAACUCUAUGUGGAGCGGUAAAAUGCACAGAUAUAUAGAAGAACACCAAUAACGGCGAAGGCAGUUAACUAUUCUGUUACUGACACUGAGGCACGAAAGCGUGGGGAGCAAAACGG
rnacentral:rRNA from 1 species